rnacentral:rRNA from 1 species
UACGGAGGAGGCAAGCGUUAUCCGGAAUUAUUGGGCGUAAAGCGUCCGCAGGUGGCAGUUUAAGUCUGCUGUCAAAGGCCGGGGCUUAACUUCGGAAAGGCAGUGGAAACUGAACAGCUAGAGUAUGGUAGGGGCAGAGGGAAUUCCUGGUGUAGCGGUGAAAUGCGUAGAGAUCAGGAAGAACAUCGGUGGCGAAGGCGCUCUGCUGGACCAUAACUGACACUCAGGGACGAAAGCUAGGGGAGCGAAUGGG